CACCCUCCCCACCCAUUUGUCUUUUCUGUUUAAUGAGUAUCUCCUUUCUGAAGUCAUAAAAAAUAAUGAAGGCCAUUAGAACCAUACUAAAUUAAAGCGUUCGUUUGAAAAUAUUACUUCCCUCCAUGUUCUGUUUUACUUUUCUCUCCGCGAAAUCAAACCGUAUUUUUGGUAGUGGUGUCUUCGGAAGUUUUAGCCGGUUCAAGUGGCUUACUCCUUUAAUUAUUCAUUGUACAUUCCUUAUACUUGUAUUGACUACGUCUUCUGUUGCAAUUUGUCAUGUUAUGAAAGCUGAAUUCAUGUGUACCCAAAGUGUGUCGCGAAAAGUAAGCGAGUAUACUCGUCAAACACAGAGUAUGUGUGGUUACUAUAAUAUAGAAUUAAGUUGUAAUGAAAUGACUGAUUUAUUUCUUAAUUUUAUUACAAACGGAGUCCAUCAUAACACAAAAUAUUGCUAUUUCUUCAUGACGAGUAUACUUGUCAAAAACAGCUAACUGGUUGAAACGGCACGUCUUUCUCGAGUAAUUGUAAGUAAGCUUUUCGGCGUCUACCCGCACGCUUUUUCGAAUACCUUUUCGUAUCCCUUAGAUAGUUACGUAAAGUAAGGCGGCUAUUUUAAUAUGCGCGGUACUUUUACCAAUGAAAACUUUUCCUUUUAAAAGCUACUCAUUAAUUUGCUUCCACGAGGCAUCUUACUGUAUAUUUAACAUAAGGACUAGCAUUUUUCAUAUAUAACACAUCCAAUAACACAAAACUAAUUACUAAAGUGAAAAUUACACGAAUAACUCAUUACUUUCCGCCUUAUAAUUUUGUCGCAAAGAAAACAUAUUCAUGUUGAAUAUCCAAAUUCUGGGAAUGACAGCCUUCGGUAUUUCGUAGAACUGAACAGUAGAUAUGCUUCUAUAUUGUAAAGUAAACAAUAGUAUUACGAAUGAAAGAAGAAGAUUCCUGAGUGGGAAUUCCUGAGUUAAAUAUAAUUUUUCUCAAUUUUUGUGUAUGUCUCGUGGUUUUGUCGCAGUGUGUAAUUAUUAAUUGCAAGGACAAAGCUAUAAAUAAAAUUAUCGUAAGUAAUUUUCCACAUGAAGAAAUACAUUUACAAAUGAAUAAAUGAAUUUUAUAAAUACUAAUUUCUUGAUAAAAUCAACAUAUAACUGCGUACAGUGCACAUUGAUAUUAUGUUAAGCUGCUUUUAUCAAAAUCAUUAUCGAUAUGCAAAAAUCACCCGAGGCUGUCACUUUAAACUACGUGAAUAUUGUCCUUGUUCUAAGGAAAGACUAAUUUCAAAAAGAUUAUCGUCAGA
rnacentral:misc_RNA from 1 species